rnacentral:rRNA from 1 species
GUCUACGGCCAUACCACCCUGAAUGCACCCCAUCUCGUCUGAUCUCGGAAGCUAAGCAGGGUCGGGCCUGGUUAGUACUUGGAUGGAAGAAAUGGUUUUAGGAACAUCUGGAUAUAUAUUUU